UUCCAUUUUGGAAGCUUCUCCACAGCCUCAGGAAAUCAUUUGUUAUUCAUAACGACUUGAUGAUUAUUGGGAGUGAGAUGAUGCUCUCUGGAGAAAGGUGCCAGAUUUCAACACUGCCAGAAAUGUUCUCGUUCCUGCUGGGAUUUGGAUGUCAAACUGUCAGAAAUCCUGCUCCACUCCAAGGAAUCCACCAGCAAGUCAUGGGGUGGAACUCCCAGUCAGGAAUGAGCCUGUGGUCCCUGAGCAAGGCUGGGUUUGUCAGCUGUGCUUCCCUUUGGCUGUGUGAGUUCAUGGAGAGCUGCCUGGCUCCUGAGGGAGACAAGAACAGGCUGUGUCUCCAGCCCAGCGCUGGUCAUGCUAUCCAAUUACCUGGUAAUUCAUCU